UUAUAACAUGUAAAUGACAGUGGAGCCUGCUCUGCUUUCUUCUUCCAUGGGAGAGUAUGGUACAAGAGGUGGUGUCCAUUGCAGCUGCCAAAGUAUAAAAUUAUGGAGCUAAACCACUUUGCUGAAAUGAUGUCCAAGGCUAAUUCGUCUGUCACAGGGCAUCCUACAUCUGGACACACAAAAACUAUUUAUGGGAGAGUCCCCCACGGGUUGGACAGCGGGUUUCUCUGUAAUGUAUUCCACAGCACUGCCAGCCUCCAGCCAUUAGCUGUGGAUGGAUUUACCCUGAAUUACCAUGGUGAGCCUGAGGUUCAGAUUUCAGC